AUUAGAUGAAAAUAGAUAUCGCUGUUUCCGGUUCCGGUUAUUGUACAUCCGGGUAUUUAUUAAAUUGGUUGCGGUUUGGUUUACAAAAUUGGCAAAAUAUGGCGGAUGAAUACAAUGAAUGGCUAUACUAUUGUACGGGAAUAUUUUGGAAGUGUUCUGUGCCAGAUAGGAUGACGGGGUGACAUACGCUGGGAGGAUAGAGUGUUGGUGAGGAGCCCGAAAUUGAAGUUUAGAGGUGAAAUGAUGAGAGAUGAAGAAAGAGAAACGGAACUCGGAAAGACAGUCAUCCUAGAGCUGAUGUCAUCAGAGGAAUCAGAUGGCGAGGAGAGAUACAGAGUGAGACCACUUAAGUGGCGCUCUAUGGAAGUAAAUAAUUUCUUUAGUGAACUUGAUAGAAGGCGUGGGCAUUUACAGACCCCACAACAGAAGAGACAAACAGAAGAGUGGUAGGGGACAGCAGUGAUCACACAAGUGAGGCUGUCCCAUAUGAACUAAGAGAGGUUGCAGUAUCUGAGGACUAGAAAGUUGGGUCACUUAAUUAAGGAGGCUUUAAGUGGUUUUUCAGUCUUCUUAUAUAAGAAGAUAAAAACAAUGAAAUUUCAACCAACCGUACAAGUGCUCUUUAAAUUACUGAAAAUCAUUUUGAGCCUCAUUCAGUGAUCACAUUUGCUACGACUGUUAUCAAUCUUGUAAUUGCAAUUGACAAAUUGUUAGAAAUAAGUAAAACAAAAAUGAUACACCUGCUAUUUCAGCUUGUGAAAUGGGCCUUCUUACCUUUGGGGUAAGUUGGCUUCUUUUACCAGGAUGGUUAUAAAUGGCUUAACACAAUGGCUAACGCCAAUUGCCACCCUCUGCAGAUUUUUUCUUUUUAUCAUGACACUGUGAUUUGAAUUUUAAACCCCCGAAUGGGAGGUUAGGUUAACGUUUUGAAAAUCUAACAUUUAAAGAAAAUUAUCAUUGAUAUAUUCUAUGGUAUAUUAUUAUUGAAAUAUUCUAUGGUAUAAAGGUUUAAAAAUAGGGCCACUAGAUUUCUAAUGAUCCCACAUUGAUAAUAUGGUCAAAUGUUUAUUGACACAAAAAUGUAAAUAUGUUACUGUUGAGGUUUGCGAAUGCGUAUAUUCUAUUGAUUAUUUAUUGAACUAUUGAUAUAGUAAAUACAUUAAAAUAAACAAAUUACAAUGCAAUAUUUAUAUUCUA